UGGAAAGGAGAGAAAAGAAGCCAGGUACUUACUUCAUUCAAGCAGCUCAGAGAAUCCAGAAUCCAAGAUGGAGUCGAGCUUAGCCAAACCUCCCAAAAUCCAAGGAAAGAAAGAAUCCCAAGGCAGUUGGACCAGCGAGAAUUCUCACCAUUGAUGAUGAAUAUGUGGAAAGAAGAGUGGAAGAAAUACAAGAGGACAGAAAAAUCAGUUGGAAGUGAUUUCCCCUCUGUGGUGUCUUCCAGUCCUGGAGAGAACACUGGGAGAUGACUGGAUGACAUGGCUCCCUGUCUGGCCUGUGUCUAUUGAUUUGGUGAACUGGCUUCUACAGGAACAUAGAGAAGAUGUGGCAGAGGUCAGAUGGCUCUGAAAAUGGAGGGGGGAAAAGCUGCUAUGGUUUUCUUUGUCCAGGCCACUGUCAUAAGGAAGCCUGGAAGAGUGAAGAAAGGUCUGAUUGAUCACAAGGUCCUAUCAAAUGUCAAAGCUGGCCCUGGCUGACCUCCCAUCUAUUCAGAGCUGCUUUGAUUUAAUCUCCAAACUGGCUGCUUCUCCAGGCUGGAAGAAGAUUGAAAUUUCCAACAAGGCAAAGGUGAUGAAAAUGUCUUCAUGGAAUCUUUGGGUACUAAGGAAAAGAGAAAAUGGAGGAGGGCAAUUACCAAAACAAGAAAUCAUCUAAUAAAACAUGAUCCACAGAACAGGAAGCCUGAUUUCUCUUGUCAAGUCACUAAACAGGCAAGAGCCUUCUCAGAUAUGUCCUGAACACCUUCUCUUUGCCUGACAAGUUCAAGAAAUUAAGUCAAAUAAAUAUUUGAUGGAAAUCUACCUGGCUCCAAAGACUGGGCUUCUAACAAUCCUCUCCACAACGUUUGAAUACAAAAAAAGUAUCCUGCUAAAGGACAGAGCCCCUCCAUCUCUUCCCGCCAAGCUCUCUGCGUGCCUGGUGAGAGGUAUAGCACUUUUGCUUUCUUUUCAAUUUGCUCUUUAAAUGAGUGACAAUAUCACCUAGUGAUUAAGGACCUGCCUGGAGCUGGGCUGAUGCUUGGAGUUGGGCUGAACCUGAGCCUGAAUUCGAGCUCUUCUUCUUCUUGCUGACUUUGACCCUAGGUGAGUUAAUUUUUCUAAGCUUCAGUUUCUUGGUCUAUAAAAAGGAGGAUGAUAAUUCUUUUCUCACUCAGUAUUGUUUUAAAGAUUAGUAAGAUAAUAUAUACAACGCAUUUAGCACAGUGCCUUGCACAUGAUAAACCCUGAAUAAAUGGUAGCCAGUUUUAAAAUACAACAUAAUUUUAAGCGUUGGUAUUUCUUAUGACUCCAAUCUCAUCCCUCCUUUUCCAUUGUCACUACAUUUGCUCUGUGUCUCCCAUAUCGAAUCUGGAACUUGCAUUCAAAGCCUUUAUCUCUCAGUGCCAAAAGAGUAGCCCUCAUGGAUGAACAAAGGUACUCAAAUUCAACAUGCCCAGAAUUAAACCCAGUAAAUGGGGAUUCAGUCACAACCCCAGUCUAUCCACCUAAGGGACAAAGUCCUGGCAGUCACCUAAGACUCCUCAUUAUCUUCAACCCCCAUCCCUGAUCAGUCACCCUAUUGGUUCUAACUUAUAAUAUUCAUUUAUUUUAUCACUACUGCCACAACCUGGGGUCAGACAUCAAACUUCUCUAUUCUGCCCCAUUGUUACCUCUUGACUACAAUCUCUGCCUCAAAUCUAAUCUGACCUCAUUCCUCUAUCUACUCUGCUAUGAAAGAGAUUACAGUUACACAUAUCUAAUUUUAUUACCUUUCCAUAUAAUGGUUCUCCAUUCUCCUGUGGGGUGCAUACAGUUUAGGGAACAUAAAAGUAUUCACUGGGAGCUAAGAAGAAAAUACCAUUUUUUUUUUAAAUUUUAUUUUAACAAUUAUUUUGAAUAUAUUUAAAAGUAUUUAUUUAUAAUGUAUGUGAUAUAGUAGUAAAGUAAAGUAAUACAUAUGAGUGAUGGUUAAUUUUAAGUGUGUCUCUGGCUAGGCCACAGUGCCCAGAUAUUUGAUCAAAAAUGUAUGAAUGUUACUCUGAAGAUAUUUUUUUAGAUCAAAUUAACAUCUAGGGGAGUACCCAUUGUGGCUCAGUGGAAAUGCCUCCAACUAGUAACCACGAGGGUACAGGUUGGAUCCCUGGCCUUGCUCAGUGGGGAGCUGUAGUGUAGGUCACAGAUGUGGCUCAGAUCCUGAGUUGCUGUGGCUGUGGUAUAGGCCAGCAGCUGUAGCUCCAAUUCAACCCCUAGCCUGGGAACUUCCAUAUGCCGCAAGUGUGGCCCUAAAAACACAAUAAAAUAAUAUAAACAUCUAAAUCAAUAGAUUUGUAGUAAAGCAGAUUACCCUCCAUAAUGUCUACCCUGCAGAUUUUGGACUUGCCAGCCUCCACAAUCAUGUGAGUCAAUUCCUAAAAAUAAAUCUCUCUCUCUAUCUCUCUCUCCCUCUCUCUCUCUCUCUCGAGUGUGUGUGUGUGUGUGUAUCCUUUUGGUUCUGUCUCUCUGAAGAAGCUUGACUACUACAGUAAUUUUAAAAUGUAUAUAAUAUGUUCAAAAGUUUUUCAGAUCCAAUGUUGUAAAGCUUUUUUUCCAUAGUUUUUCACUAGGAGUUUUAGAAUUUCAGGUCUUCCAUUUAAGUCUGUUAUCCAUUUUGAAUUGAUUUUUGUAUAUGUUGUAACAUGAGGUCUAGUGUCACUCUUUUUUGCAUGUAAAUUUCCAGAUUUCCAACACCGUUUGUUGAAGAGACUAUCUUUUCCCCAUUUUGUACUCUUGACAAAAACCAGUUGACCACAUGGGCACACAUUUAUUUCUGGGCUCUCUGUUUGGUUCCACUGGUUUGUAUGUUGGUCUUUAUGCCAGUAUAUACUAAUUUGAUUAUGGUAGCUUUGUAGUGUAUUUCAAAAUAAGGAAAUAUGAUGCCUCCAGGCUUGUUCUCUUUCAAGAUUGUUUGAGCUAUUCAUAUAUUUUGUGGGUUCAUAUAGAUUUAGAAAUGUCAUUGGGAUUUUGAUAUGGAAUGUGUUGUGUUGAAUUGUAGAUUGCUUUGGGCAACAUGGACAUUUUAACAAUAUUAAAUCUUACAAACC
rnacentral:lncRNA from 1 species